GACGAACGCUGGCGGCGUGCUUAACACAUGCAAGUCGAACGGUGAAGCGCCUUCCUUUUUGGUGGGUGUGGAUGAGUGGCGAACGGGUGAGUAACACGUGAGUAACCUGCCCCCUUCUUCUGGAUAACCGCAUGAAAGUGUGGCUAAUACGGGAUAUUCUGGGUCUGUCGCAUGAUGGGUCUGGGAAAGAUAUUGUUUCGGUGGGGGAUGGGCUCGCGGCCUAUCAGCUUGUUGGUGGGGUGAUGGCCUACCAAGGCGGUGACGGGUAGCCGGCCUGAGAGGGUGGACGGUCACACUGGGACUGAGACACGGCCCAGACUCCGACGGGAGGCAGCAGUGGGGAAUAGUGCACAAUGGGCGCAAGCCUGAUGCAGCGACGCCGCGGGAGGGAUGGAGGCCUGCGGGUUGUGAACCUCUUUCGCCAGUGAAGCAGGCCUGCCUCGUUUGUGGGUGGGUUGACGGUAGCUGGAUAAGAAGCGCCGGCUAACUACGUG
rnacentral:rRNA from 1 species